rnacentral:rRNA from 1 species
AGUGAACGCUGGCGGUAGGCCUAACACAUGCAAGUCGAACGGCAGCACAGUAAGAGCUUGCUCUUACGGGUGGCGAGUGGCGGACGGGUGAGGAAUACAUCGGAAUCUACUUUUUCGUGGGGGAUAACGUAGGGAAACUUACGCUAAUACCGCAUACGACCUACGGGUGAAAGCAGGGGAUCUUCGGACCUUGCGCGAUUGAAUGAGCCGAUGUCGGAUUAGCUAGUUGGCGGGGUAAAGGCCCACCAAGGCGACGAUCCGUAGCUGGUCUGGGAGGAUGGUCAGCCACACUGGAACUGAGACACGGUCCAGACGCCUACGGGAGGCAGCAGUGGGGAAUAGUGGACAAUGGGCGCAAGCCUGAUCCAGCCAUACCGCGUGGGUGAAGAAGGCCUUCGGGUUGUAAAGCCCUUUUGUUGGGAAAGAAAAGCAGCAGGUUAAUACCCCGCUGUUCUGACGGUACCCAAAGAAUAAGCACCGGCUAACUUCGUG